AUACAUUUCUCGUCCUUUUGGCUAAGAUCAAGUGUAGUAUCUCUUUCUUAUUAAUUUAAUAUCUGAUGAUACGUGGGUCAUCCGUUUAUAUGAUAUUAAAUUAAUUAAUAUUUUAAGGGGGAGAGUCCAUCACAGUAACUUGCUGCUAGAACUCUCGAGCGUUAGCUUGGCGCUAGUGGCGGAUUCAUG